AAAAUACGAUUUUGUCCUUCUAUUUCCACACGCAGCCAUGUGGCUUGCUUCUCCGCUCAACAUUCUUUCUCUACACGUCUCUCUUUUCUUUCUUCAUCUCUCUCUUCUCUUUCAUCUCAUCACAUGUUCUUUUUCUUCUUAAUGUUCCUCUUUUUCAAACUUCCCUCUUUUUUCUUCAUCUUUCUUUCUUUUUCCAACUUCUUCCGCUAUCUUCUUAUCUCUUCUUGCUAUGAACCCCAACUUGCAAUUCAUUUUCAUUUUCUCAUUAUCAUCUCUAUUGCAAACGAAUUGGCAUCUCUCUUGCAAACAAAAAUAAAAAGCAUGGAUGAAACUAAAAUCAAGAAGGAGAAACAUGUUACCAACCGGAAUAAGGGAUAUGGCGUUUCCGACGGGAUAUGGCGUUUCCGACGGGAUAUGGCGUUUCUGUCGGUUUUACAACGGUGUGUGGUUUUCCGACAAUUUUUUCAAUUUGUUGCUCUUCGACUUCUAACAAGGGGUAAAACCCCACUGUGA